rnacentral:rRNA from 1 species
AUUGAACGCUGGCGGCAGGCCUAACACAUGCAAGUCGAACGGUAACAGGAAACAUCUUGCUGUUUCGCUGACGAGUGGCGGACGGGUGAGCAAUGUCUGGGAAACUGUCUGAUGGAGGGGGAUAACUACUGGAAACGGUAGCUAUUACCGCAUAACGUCGCAAGACCAAAGAGGGGGACCUUCGGGCCUCUUGCCAUCGGAUGUGCGCAGAUGGGAUUAGCUAGUAGGUGGGGUAACGGCUCACCUAGGCGCCGAUCUCUAGCUGGUCUGAGAGGGUGACCAGCCACACGGGAACUGAGACACGGUCCAGACUCCUACGGGAGGCAGCAGUGGGGAAUAUUGCACGAUGGGCGCAAGCCUGAUGCAGCCAUGCCGCGUGUAUGAAGAAGGUCUUCGGGUUGUAAAGUACUUUCGGCGGGGAGGAAGGGAAUAAAGUUAAUACCUUUACUCAUUGACGUUACCCGCAGAAGAAGCACCGGCUAACUCCGUG